GAUAAAUACCUUCCCCUUCUUUCCUUUAAAAGACUGUUCCAAGAUAGGAUUUCUCCAUACGGCCUUUCUGAGCACAUAGUGCCUGAUCCAGGAAGUGCCCCCGCUAACAGACUUUGCCUCUGAGAGUGUCAUCAGGAAGCAAAACACAUUGCAUGGUGUUGCUCCUUCUCUGCCACUAUUCCCUGUAUCUUUUCCUCCACUCUUGCUGCCCUAGAAUUGCAUGUCCCAGUUAAAAUCUGGGCUUAUACAAGUUGGUUUUGAAAGUUGGUUUUAAAAAUCAAUUAUGCCAACAGCAGCAAUUUAAAAUGGUGAUGUACACCUAUAUUCACUAACUAGGAAAGAGCUGCGAGUCAUAACUUUGGAGAUUUGACUGUUUCAGAUGCUUU
rnacentral:lncRNA from 10 species